AUUGAACGCUGGCGGCAGGCUUAACACAUGCAAGUCGAGCGGAGGAAGGUAGCUUGCUACCGGACCUAGCGGCGGACGGGUGAGUAAUGCUUAGGAAUCUGCCUAUUAGUGGGGGACAACAUCUCGAAAGGGAUGCUAAUACCGCAUACGUCCUACGGGAGAAAGCAGGGGAUCUUCGGACCUUGCGCUAAUAGAUGAGCCUAAGUCGGAUUAGCUAGUUGGUGGGGUAAAGGCCUACCAAGGCGACGAUCUGUAGCGGGUCUGAGAGGAUGAGCCGCCACACUGGGACUGAGACACGGCCCAGACUCCUGAGGGAGGCAGCAGUGGGGAAUAUUGGACAAUGGGGGGAACCCUGAUCCAGCCAUGCCGCGUGUGUGAAGAAGGCCUUAUGGUUGUAAAGCACUUUAAGCGAGGAGGAGGCUACUCUAGUUAAUACCUAGGGAUAGUGGACGUUGCUCGCAGAAUAAGCACCGGCUAACUCUGUGCCAGCCGCCGCCGUAA
rnacentral:rRNA from 1 species